rnacentral:rRNA from 1 species
CAGCAGCCGCGGGAAUACGUAGGUGGCAAGCGUUGUCCGGAAUUAUUGGGCGUAAAGGGCUCGUAGGCGGUUUCUUAAGUCUGAUGUGAAAGCCCCCGGCUCAACCGGGGAGGGUCAUUGGAAACUGGGAAACUUGAGUGCAGAAGAGGAGAGUGGAAUUCCACGUGUAGCGGUGAAAUGCGUAGAGAUGUGGAGGAACACCAGUGGCGAAGGCGACUCUCUGGUCUGUAACUGACGCUGAGGAGCGAAAGCGUGGGGAGCGAACAGGAUUAGAUACCCCUGUAGUCCCUGUCUCUUAUAC